CGCGUUUUUCGCCCAGGCGGAGCUCGACCGCCGCACCAAGUCCUGAAGGCUUUCGUCGAUCAGCAUCGAACGCAGUUUGGGGUCGAGCCGAUCUGUCGCGUCCUGCAGAUCGCCCCC
rfam:[Polyangium] brachysporum strain DSM 7029, complete genome.